UUGAUUAAAUUCAUUUUUUGCAGAAAGAUUCGACACAAAAUAACUUAUAACAGGUUUAAAACAGGUUUAUUAAAUAUUUUACAAAUGGAUGUUAAAAAAAUACACUUGAAUACAAACGCUAUAGAAGAGCUUCACUUGUCUCUCAAUGUUGCUAUGUCAAUGCCUUAUCCAAAAUGUAAUUUAUUUAUUUUUUCCCAGCAAAAUACUACAUAAAAUGACAUGUCAUUUUGUGUACUAAGUUAAAAUAGGUUUAAUUAUUUUUUUGCAAACUUAUUAAAUAAAAAAAACACUUUUCCAGCAGAAAAAAAUAAAAUAAAAUAAAUAAAAAACACCUUUCUGCUCUCGUGUAUCCAUAACACACAUUUUGCUAUGUUGCAGCCUUAUCCCAAAUUUGAUUAAAUUCAUUUUUUGCCGCAAAAUUCUACUCAAAAUACUGUAUAAUGAGAAGUUAAAAACAGGGUUUAUUAAAUCUUUUGCCAAUUAAAAAAAAACAAAAAACUUAAAUAUAACUCAUUGACUACAAUCUAAAUUGAUUGGUGUUGAACUAUUCACACCACAUAUUUUACUGUGUUACAGCCUCAUACAAAAAUCGAUUAAAUGCAUAUUUUUUUCAGUCAGACUACUUAAAUAUUACUCAAAAUACCCACUUCCGUAUGACUUCUGUACUGUAUGCAUGUCUGUGUCUCUUCAAUAGAAGGUGAGUCACAAGAAUCAACAGAUCUCCAUGUUAGAAAUGGAAAAAGACGCUCUCCUUGAACAACUUCACGAAGUUCAAGCCCACUAAUUGCCAGGUGCACCCGUCCCGUUGCUUGUAAAUAAGUAUUUAAGUUAAUAAAUGUAAUCAAAUCC